rnacentral:lncRNA from 1 species
GUAAUUCCAGCCCCAGGCUGAAACACAUUAGCGCCUUUGGUAGGUGCUCUAUCAGAAGACAAUGGGCGUGUGCACGAGUCGACCCCAUGUUUUUAUUUUCGUUCAUCUCUGAACCUAAACACAGAUUCCCGGUCGGAAUAUUAUCGCUUUUUUACGAGAAAAAUUGCAUAAAAAUUGAUUUUAAACAGCGGUUGACAUGCUUCGAAGUACGGUAAUGGAAUAUUUAGAUUUUUUUUGUCACGAAAUGCGUCGUGCGUUUUGAACCAAACCAACAUUUGUUAUUGAAGUAGAAGUCCUGGGAGUGCAUUCUGAUGAAGACAGCAAAGGACCAUGCCCCAGGACUACCUGGCCUGAUGACUCCUUGCUGUCCCCAGUUCACCUGGCCGUGCUGCUGCUCCAGUUCCAACUGUUCUGCCUGCGGCUAUGGAACCCUGACCUGUUCACCGGACGUUCUACCUGUCCCAGACCUGUUGUUCCAGACCUGCUGGAACCCUGACCUGUUCACCGGACGUGCUACCUGUCCCAGACCUGCUGUUUUCAACUCUCUAGAGACAGCAGGAGCGGAAGAGAUACUCUCAAAGAUCGGCUAUGAAAAAGCCAACUGACACUUACUAUUGUGUUACUGACUUGUUACACCCUCGACAACUACUAUGGUUAUUAUUAUUUGACCAUGCUGGUCAUUUAUGAACAUUUGAACAUCUUGGCCAUGUGCUGUUAUAAUCUACACCCGGCACAGCCAGAAGAGGACUGGCCACCCCUCAUAGCCUGGUUCCUCUCUAGGUUUCUUCCUAGGUUUUGGCCUUUCUAGAGAGUUUUUCCUAGCCACCGUGCU